rnacentral:rRNA from 1 species
CAUAGCGACUAUCGUGGCAUAUCAAUAAGCGGAGGAAAAGAAACUAACAAGGAUUCCCCUAGUAACGGCGAGUGAAGCGGGAAGAGCUCAAAUUUGAAAUCUUAAAGGGUUUCCCUUUACGAAUUGUAGUUUAAAGAAGUGUUUUCUGUUGGAGUUUCGGUAAAAGUUCUUUGGAAUAGGACAUCAUAGAGGGUGAGAAUCCCGUAUUUGACCGUUACUUUCCAGCUGUGUGAUACACUUUCAAAGAGUCGGAUUGUUUGGGAAUGCAGUCCAAAAUGGGUGGUAAAUUUCAUCUAAAGCUAAAUAUUGGCGAGAAACCGAUAGCGAACAAGUACCGUGAGGGAAAGAUGAAAAGAACUUUGAAAAGAGAGUUAAACAGUACGUGAAAUUGUCAAAAGGGAAGCGUUUGACACCAGUGUUGUUUAGUUGAAAAUCAAUUCAAUAAUUUCUGAUUUUAAGUAGUAUUGACUUCAUCAGCUUGCUGCUUUCUUUUCAGGAAUUAUUGAAUGCACUUUUCAGUUAACAAGUCAACAUCAAUUUCUUUUGUUGUAAAAGGGUAAGAGGAAGGUGGUUUACGUUUCGGGUAAGUGUUUAUAGCCUUUUACCUCUGCAAUCGGAGAGAUUGAGGUACAUGCAGCGUAGACUCCUUCUGGGGUUAGAUACACUUUGUGCUAAGUUAUAGCUUUGUAUAGACAACUUGUUGACUAUGAUUAGUCAUUGUAGCUUACUCGCUUAGUGCUAUUUUACCUACGCUUAGGAUGUUGAUAGUCACAGCGUGUAC